CAUAAUCUUCCUUUCUUCCCAGAACCACCACCGAAAAACCUUCCCAGAACCCCAUCUUGGUCGCUGUCAUCAUCUUCAUUCAAAUCUCAGUAAUUGCCCAUGCUACCACCACUGAGUGGCUCUCAAUCGCUGGUAUUCAGUCAAUUUGAUUCAUGGAAACAACACAUGCAACAUCUCAAUGAUUUGAUAUCUCAAUUAGAAGAACUUUAAUUCAGGAAAUUAGGGUUUUUAGAUUUAAUUGAGGGUUGAAGAAAUUGAGGAUGAGUUAGUGAUGGGUAUUAUGAAUUGAAAGCAGAGAAGAAGAUUUAACAACUACUUCUCAAUUCGCCAUGAGGAAUCGAAGAAUCUAGGGUUCGUGAAUUCGGAUUGAAGAUGGAAACAUGAUCCUGAUGGUGAGUAACUAAAGGAAGAAGACAACUUCUGAAUUUGUAUUUGAGGAACAAAUUAGAUUUAGGGUUAUUGUAUUGGUGAUCUUCAAUUUACGAAUCAAGGGUGUUGAUCAGUUAAUGUGUUGAAGUAAUUCUGGUGAUGAAUUGAAGAACAGGGGUUGGCUCUGUUCUUGAGGAUUUUGGAGUCGGGUAUUGUGUUAUUAUUAGAAUUCAUGUUCUUGCUAUAAAAUCA